GCCUGCCAGACCUGAUGAGAAGCUGCCUCAGACGGAAUUUGUCUUUGUUCUGCAGAGGAGCAGUGGUUGGUGUCUGAGCAGUUGGACUCCCUGAUUUCUCAAAGACUUGGACUUCCAGCCUGCUUGAUUGUGACAAAGUCUAGAAGCUCUAACAGCCCCCAUGACCAUGCUGCAAUUGAGAAAGGAGAAUUUGGGAUGCCUAACAGAUCUUGAGAUGAGGGUGACAAUCUAGAGUUUGGAAUGUGCCCUGUCAGCUGCUGCUCUGGCCACUAUGCCUGCCUGCUGUUACACCUUCCUACUAAGACAGUGAUAUAGUCAUCCCUAUGGAACCAGUAGCCCAGCAUAAGCCCUUCCUUCCAUAAGUUGCCAUGGUAACGGUGCUUCAUCACAUCAACAGAAAAGCACUUCACAGAAAAGUAGAGAUUUUAGUGCUAAAAUAUCAAGAUCCAGAAUCAAGGCAAUGACUAUCAAAAUGGCCGUGGCAACCCACUCUGAUGCGGUUCCACACAGCUCAUCUGAAGAUAAGGUUUGGCAGUGGUUACAAUAGAUAUAUUUAAAACCCCGUUGGAUCCUUUUACUGUGACUUUCUGCUUGAUAAAGAUGAAGAAGUGAAGUGCCUGGGUGAUGCUGACCUUUAAAUCCAUUCAGCGGACGGUUUGGCAGGAAGAAAUCCAGUAACGACCCCUUAGGUCACCAAAGCACUUUUUCAAAGAAGUGUAUAAUCCCAGUUUGGAAAAAGCUUUUAUAAACCUGUAUCUAUUUCUUCAGGUGGGCUAUAAACUAUUCCUGAAUGAUGGGAUUUGGUUUCUAGCCUAUGUAGAGCUCCAGAUGAAGCAUAUAGAAGGUUUUUUUCAUUCUUCCUUCCUUCCUUCCUUCCUUCCUUCCUUCCUUCCUUCCUUCCUUAAUUCCUUAAUUCCUUUCUUUCUUCCUUAUUGAUCACUCUUCCUUUUCUUCUCUUUCUUUUAAAGGCAUGGACAUAAGAGUUUUCCUUUCAUCUACUUUACAUGAUGACAACCUGAGAUUAACUCAUUAAGUACACAUUAACACAUAAAGUAUAAAGAUACGAGACCAUUAUAGAAGCAACAAUUAUACAACUAGCUAUAGCAAAUGUAAUAUGAGGUUAGUAAUAAUUUAGUAAAUUACAAUGUAAGGCUAUGUUAACUAUUGCUGAUACUUCACACUUUUAUUCUCAUUUUCCUAGUUUACUAGUAUCUUUUUUAUUUUAUUUUCAAAUACCUCGUGAAGGUAGAACCCUUAGACACCAGGGUUCUUGAUUAUUUCCUGCACAUGGGCAAGGGUUAAUAAUCAAAACGCUAAAUACAAAAAACAUAAGCAAAAUGGCCUUUGUUGUUGCUGUUCAUUGUUUUGUUUUUGAAAAAUAAAAAUCAUGAUAUUUGGGCUAUAUAUAAUAGUGAGAAAUGCUUUUCUGAAUCAAAGGUUUUGAGUAAGACAGUCCCAGGAGAGGGACAGUAAUUAGACUAAUAGUUUGAUAGUGCCCAAUAAGAAAACUGUUGCAAGAUAUUUCCUAUUCAUUCACAUUGAGGCAGUGAGAGGCCAGUGAUUGGAGGGGAGAGAAGAGGGGGAGGAGCUAGGUGGAGAGAGGGGGGCAGAGGACCCCAUGAGCAGAACAGGGAGAGAUGUGGAUAUCCAGAUGGUUUCAGAUAUAUUCUGGUGUUUUGGAGAGGUUAGAAAUAUUGGUAUAAGACUUUAUCAUUAUAAAUUGGCAUUAUGAAAUUGGGAGUUUCAUAUACAUAAAUACAUUUGGUUAACUAUUCAAGCUUAAGAGUCAUGCUUUACUGGAUACUUGGAAUGAGUAGGUGCUGGGCAGGAGCACGGGACUCCCACCAUUUACAGAGUCUAUGGCAGAGAGGAAACACAGCUGGGACGCUGUGAGAGCUGAGAUUGGCUCAGUGGAGACAGUGAGAGCCGCCCUGCGCAGGACCCUCUAGGUCUUGGUGCAGAGGUGUGGUAGGGUGGUACCAUUUUUUAAAAUAUUUCCCGCUACAGAAUGCUUACUCAUUUUUCAAUUUUUCUAAAGUAGUCUGCCAACGGGAGGUUACAUUUAAUUUUUUGAAGUGAUAUAAGCUGUUAAUACAUCUAAUAAUUGAAUGAGAAAUAAUUUUGAAGUUGAGUGUUCAUAGUUUCACAUAUAAUUUAUCAAUUUCUUUCUCAAACAUGUUAUUCCUUUUUUUUGAAACAGGGUUACUCUGUAUAGCCCUGGCUGUCCUGAAACUCAUUCUGUAGACCAGGCUGGCCUCAAACUCAAAAAUUCAUCUGUCUCUGCCUCCCAGAGUGCUGGGAUUACAGGCAUGCGCCACCACCACCCGGCUGAACAUGUUAUUCUUAAAUGAUGUGGAACAUUGUUGAAGUCAGAGUUUUUGCGUUCUUUCUCUCUACUGAAAACACCUUUCCAAACAUUUAUUAGUACAGGUAGUAAAUAGCUCACCUGAAUUUCAAAGGAGUUACAGCUCAGCAUAAUCCAGAGAUUAUGUUUAAAGAUGGUGAAGUAAAAGCACCUACAACUGCUUCUUUUUUUUCCAGAAAGAAAACAUUUGCAGUUAAAAAAAAUCCAUCUUAGGUGAAAUCAGAAAAUGGCUAUCAAUAAAAAAUAGAACUAGGAAAAUAUGUUCUUAAAAACAGUA